rnacentral:rRNA from 1 species
GAAACGACUGCUAAGACUGGAUAGGAAAAGUAAAGGCAUCUUUGCUUUUUUAAAAGAUCUUCUUUGAAGGUAUGCUUAAGGAGGGGCUUGCGACACAUUAGUUAGUUGGCAGGGUAAAGGCCUACCAAGACUAUGAUGUGUAGCUGGACUGAGAGGUUGAACAGCCACAUUGGGACUGAGACACGGCCCAAACUCCUACGGGAGGCAGCAGUAGGGAAUUUUCGGCAAUGGAGGAAACUCUGACCGAGCAACGCCGCGUGAACGAUGAAGUACCUCGGUAUGUAAAGUUCUUUUAUUAAGGAAGAAAAAAGAGUGGAAAAACUCCCUUGACGGUACUUAAUGAAUAAGCCCCGGCUAAUUAUGUGCCAGCAGCCGCGGUAAUACAUAAGGGGCGAGCGUUAUCCGGAAUUAUUGGGCGUAAAGGGUGCGUAGGCGGUUUAAUAAGUCUAUAGUUUAAUUUCAGUGCUUAACGCUGUUGUGCUAUAGAAACUGUUUUACUAGAGUGAGAUAGAGGCAAGCGGAAUUCCAUGUGUAGCGGUAAAAUGCGUAAAUAUAUGGAGGAACACCAGAGGCGUAGGCGGCUUGCUGGGUCUUUACUGACGCUGAGGCACGAAAGCGUGGGGAGCAAACAGGAUUAGAUACCCUGGUAGUCCACGCCGUAAACGAUGAGUACUAAGUGUCGGGUAAAACUGGUACUGAAGUUAACACAUUAAGUACUCCGCCUGAGUAGUACGUACGCAAGUAUGAAACUUAAAGGAAUUGACGGGACUCCGCACAAGCGGUGGAUCAUGUUGUUUAAUUCGAAGAUACACGAAAAACCUUACCAGGUCUUGACAUUUUCUUGCGAAAUUAUAGAAAUAUAAUGGAGGUUAUCAGGAAAACAGGUGGUGCAUGGUUGUCGUCAGCUCGUGUCGUGAGAUGUUAGGUUAAGUCCUAAAACGAGCGCAACCCUUGUCGUUAAUUGCCAGCAUGUAAUGAUGGGGACUUUAACGAGACUGCCAAUGAAAAAUUGGAGGAAAGGUGGGGAUUACGUCAAAUCAUCAUGCCCCUUAUGAUCUGGGCUACAAACGUGAUACAAUGGUUGAUACAAAGAGUAGCUGAAACGCGAGUUCUUAGCCAAUCUCAAAAAAUCAAUCUCAGUUCGGAUUGAAGUCUGCAACUCGACUUCAUGAAGUUGGAAUCGCUAGUAAUCGCGAAUCAGCAUGUCGCGGUGAAUACGUUCUCGGGGUUUGUACACACCGCCCGUCA